rnacentral:lncRNA from 1 species
AACUCACCCCAUUCUCUGGACUUAAUUCUUAGACCAUCAUAAAAUGAAGAAAGCAGCCUGUCUUGAUCCCCUCAAGUAAGAUCUCAAGGCCUUACCUGUGCCCAGGCCCUAUUACCCUAGAGUCCUCGUGUGUGUGUGUGUGUGUGUGUGUGUGUGUGUGUGUGUGUGUGUGUUCAAGUUCACACAGGUCUUCAGAGCCAGCGUACUCUUUGCUCCUUGGAACCCUUUUUCAUGAGAAUCAUCAAGAUGAUUGUUCCAGGACCGUGGGAGCUCAUCUACUGAUCCCAGACUCUGUUCCACUCUGACAGUUGCAUGUCCACAGAUGAUGGACACAUGAGACAAAAGAGACAGACAUGGGCUCUCUCCAUUUAUUUCCUCAAACCCAUCCUCCUAUGGGUACAGGGUCUGUCACACCAGUGGAGACAAGAGGACUCUAACUCCACUGUCCAACGUCUGGGGAAAUUUGGGGGAAGGGGGGUGGGGGAGAAGAGAGAGUAGAGAUCUUUUAAGACCUAUUUUAUUUUUAAUUAUAUACAUCUCUGUGUGGCCAUGUACACGUGAGUCAUGUGCCUGUGGCAGACAAGAACAUUGGAUCCCCUUAAGUGGAAUUAAAGGCAGCUGUGAGCUUCCCAAGAUAGGUGCUGGCACUGGAACUUGAACUCAGGUCCUCUGCAAGAGCAAUCUAUACUCUUAACUGCUGAGCCAUUUAUCCAGUCCCCUGUAUACAGAUUCUUGUCACGAUCUCCAGAAGUAUUUGGGACGUGUGUGUGUGUGUGUGUGUGUGUGUGUGUGUGUGUGUGUGUGUGUGUGUGUGUGUUUGUGUAUACCAGUAUAUCUAUAGGUAUGAGUAUGUGUGUGUGUGUUUGUAUGUGAAACAGUGUAUGUGUGAGUACGUAGGCAUGUAUGUUUCUGUGUGAGUAUGUAAAUGAAUGUAUGUGUAUAUAUAAAUGUGUGUGUGGUUUUUGUUUUUAUUUUUAUUUUAUUUUGUCUUGUUUUAUCAAGGGGGUUAAGCCAAUGACCUCUUGUAUGCUGGGCAAAUUCUCAACCACUGAACCACAACUCCCCCAACCAACCAGAUACUCCUAUCAUCUUUGUCAGUACUUAGGAACCACUAGACAGGAUACAACCCAACCCUUCAGCAUCUGAGAUGCUAGUGCACUGUCAAUCUCCCUUUGUUACCUAGCAUCUCCCAGACAAGCAUCUACUUUUCUUACCUCUAUCCUUUUGCUUUCCCUUUGCCAUACCUGAAGUGCCCCCUCCCUCUAUUUUAUACCUGGAAAUUUUUUAUUUAUCCCUCACACCCACCUGGAAAGUGGUGUCUCUCAAUCAGUAGGCCACUGUCACAUUCACUGUCUUCCCUGACAAUGCUCAGCCACAAUGCUGGCCACCCGCAUCAUCCCAGUCUCUUUGCUUGUGAUCUGUACUUUCUGGACAUGCCUCAAGGGCAGAGACUAUGCCCAGGAUGCAGCAACCUACCUGUGAGCUCCUGGAAAGAGGUGUAAGGCUUCAAGCCAAACCUCUUUCGGUAUUCAUUGAAGGGCUGUAGGCGCAUCUCUCGGGACUCCUUGAUGACAUCCACAGCCACAUGCAGAACAUGAUAGUCAAAGUUCCUACCUCCACCAAUCUGUAAGAGAUUAGCAUGCUGUCAGUCUCAGAAUCAGGUCAAACUCUUUUACUGUCCUGCGGAAGGUCUCAGAGAAGAACUCCAAGGCUCCGGUUCUUUCUGAACCAGGACAGAAUCUGGUGUAGCCCAGUGAUCGUGAUGCUGCAGUCUGGCUCUAGCCCUACCCUGCCGUUCUCACUUAGAGGCCCACAAUGUGUCUGCUUCCUCAACACUGAAGUGUGCAGCACUUCACUUUCCAGUAACUUGAGUUCCUUGGAGUCACACCAACAGGUAGUGUCAUCUUUAUUGAAAGAAAGAAAAAUAAAGUCCCCAUGAAAAUGAAGACUCCAGAUCCCCGGGGCCUGUUGGACAGCCUACCUAGCUCACUAGGUAAGCUACAGGCCAAGU